AGUCAUGUGGCCGAGUGGUUAAGCAUAGGUUUCAUAAACCUGUAACGGCGGUUCGAAUCCGUCCUUGACGU
rnacentral:tRNA from 1 species